GAUGAACGCUGGCGGCGUGCCUAAUACAUGCAAGUCGAGCGAACAGACGAGGAGCUUGCUCCUCUGACGUUAGCGGCGGACGGGUGAGUAACACGUGGAUAACCUACCUAUAAGACUGGGAUAACUUCGGGAAACCGGAGCUAAUACCGGAUAACAUGUUGAACCGCAUGGUUCAACAGUGAAGGACGGUCUUGCUGUCACUUAUAGAUGGAUCCGCGCCGCAUUAGCUAGUUGGUAAGGUAACGGCUUACCAAGGCAACGAUGCGUAGCCGACCUGAGAGGGGGAGCGGCCACACUAGAAAUUAGACACGGGCCAGAAUCCCAAGGGAGGCAGCAGUAGGGGAACGUACGCAAAGGGACGAAAUCUGAAGGGGCAACGGCGGGUGAGGGAAAAAAGGUUUUGGAUCGGAAAACCUUGUUAUUUGGGGAAAAAAAAAGUGUAAGUAAACAUGCCAGGCUUGAACGGUCCUAAAUAGAAAACCAACGGCAAACUAGGG
rnacentral:rRNA from 1 species